GAUGAACGCUGGCGGCGUGCCUAAUACAUGCAAGUCGAGCGAACGGACGAGAAGCUUGCUUCUCUGAUGUUAGCGGCGGACGGGUGAGUAACACGUGGAUAACCUACCUAUAAGACUGGGAUAACUUCGGGAAACCGGAGCUAAUACCGGAUAAUAUUUUGAACCGCAUGGUUCAAAAGUGAAAGACGGUCUUGCUGUCACUUAUAGAUGGAUCCGCGCUGCAUUAGCUAGUUGGUAAGGUAACGGCUUACCAAGGCAACGAUGCAUAGCCGACCUGAGAGGGUGAUCGGCCACAUUGGAACUGAGACACGGUCCAGACUCCUACGGGAGGCAGCAGUAGGGAAUCUGCCGCAAUGGUCGAAAGCCUGGCGGAGCAACGCCGCGUGAGUGAUGAAGGUCUUCGGAUCGUAAAACUCUGUUAUUAGGGAAGAACAUAUGUGUAAGUAACUGUGCACAUCUUGACGGUACCUAAUCAGAAAGCCACGGCUAACUACGUG
rnacentral:rRNA from 1 species